rnacentral:rRNA from 1 species
AUUGAACGCUGGCGGCAGGCCUAACACAUGCAAGUCGAACGGUAGCACAGAGAGCUUGCUCUCGGGUGACGAGUGGCGGACGGGUGAGUAACGUCUGGGAAACUGCCCGAUGGAGGGGGAUAACUACUGGAAACGGUAGCUAAUACCGCAUAACGUCGCAAGACCAAAGUGGGGGACCUUCAGGCCUCACACCAUCGGAUGUGCCCAGAUGGGAUUAGCUAGUAGGUGGGGUAAUGGCUCACCUAGGCGACGAUCCCUAGCCGGUCUGAGAGGAUGACCAGCCACACUGGAACUGAGACACGGUCCAGACUCCUACGGGAGGCAGCAGUGGGGAAUAUUGCACAAUGGGCGCAAGCCUGAUGCAGCCAUGCCGCGUGUAUGAAGAAGGCCUUCGGGUUGUAAAGUACUUUCAGCGGGGAGGAAGGCGGUGAAGUUAAUAACUUCACCGAUUGACGUUACCCGCAGAAGAAGCACCGGCUAACUCCGUGCCAGCAGCCGCCGUAA